rnacentral:rRNA from 1 species
GACGAACGCUGGCGGCGUGCUUAACACAUGCAAGUCGAACGGAAAGGCCCUGCUUUUGUGGGGUGCUCGAGUGGCGAACGGGUGAGUAACACGUGAGUAACCUGCCCUUGACUUUGAGAUAACUUCAGGAAACUGGGGCUAAUACCGGAUAGGAGCUCCUGCUGCAUGGUGGGGGUUGGAAAGUUUCGGCGGUUGGAUGGACUCGCGGCUUAUCAGCUUGUUGGUGGGGUAGUGGCUUACCAAGGCUUUGACGGGUAGCCGGCCUGAGAGGGUGACCGGCCACAUUGGGACUGAGAUACGGCCCAGACUCCUACGGGAGGCAGCAGUGGGGAAUAUUGCACAAUGGGCGGAAGCCUGAUGCAGCAACGCCGCGUGCGGGAUGACGGCCUUCGGGUUGUAAACCGCUUUCGCCUGUGACGAAGCGUGAGUGACGGUAAUGGGUAAAGAAGCACCGGCUAACUACGUG